AAACCCUCCUCUCCAUCUACACACCGAUAGAGAAGAGAGAGAAAGAGAGAAUUCCUUCAACGGAGAAUCUGACUUUCGCUGCGAUUCCAGCAACUCGAGAUGAGUCUUGCUUGAGUCAACUCAGAACUAGAUUUUUGUACACUUUUUAUGUCAUAAGGCCAUAAGUAAACCAUGUUUUCAUCACCUGAUAAUCAGCUGCGUCACUGGAGAUUUUCCGGACGAUGGAGCCAUAGAAGCAUCUUCUUCUCCCUCUACUUCUAGUUCUUGGAAGUGACAAGCAAUGGUGAGGAAGGAGGUCACAUGGCUAGGUUAGGAGGAAGUUAGUUUCUUAACCAGAUGUUUCCGCUAGGUUUGAGUCUUAAACAAGAUGAAGGACAUGGCUUUCUUAGACCUGUCGGUGGUCAUGGGAGUGAGAAAAUUUUCUCUGAUGAUGUUAUGAAACCUGUAACUGUUUUUCAUGGGGAGCCAAUGCAACAGCCAGCUCCAUCAGCGUCACAUCAGCCUACAUCAAUCGAUCCUAGGGUUUGAGAAUACCAAAGAGGUAAAGCUUCGACUUUAGUAGAUUUUUUUCUCUGUUUGUAUUAUAAGAAUACCAAGAAUCUGAUUGUGAGUAUGUGUUAGGCUCCGGUAACAACGCUGAUAUUGAAACUUGUGUUGACUAUUAAUGUUUAUGUGCUGGUAAAACCACAAUGUGUACCAAUCAUGCUUAUUAUCAUCAGAAGAAAGUCUACGAACCAGCACAAUAUAUGUGGAUACUUUCAGGGCUGUUGCAAUCGAUCAGCAGAAACAGAAUGCCACCAAGACUAGAUUCCUUAGUAUAGAAGGCAUGAAGGUUUCUUAUCUUAGUAUCAGCUUUCUUCUUGCAUGUUUUAGUACCUUUGGUGCUUCUG